rnacentral:rRNA from 1 species
UACGUAGGGAGCAAGCGUUGUCCGGAAUCAUUGGGCGUAAAGCGCGCGUAGGUGGCCCCGUAAGUCCGCUGUGAAAGUCAAAGGCUCAACCUUUGAAAGCCGGUGGAUACUGUGGGACUAGAGUACGGAAGAGGCGAGUGGAAUUCCUGGUGUAGCGGUGGAAUGCGCAGAUAUCAGGAGGAACACCAAUAGCGAAGGCAGCUCGCUGGGACGUUACUGACACUGAGGCGCGAAAGCGUGGGGAGCGAACGGG